GGAUUCCCCUAGUAACGGCGAGCGAAGCGGGAAGAGCUCAAAUUUGAAAUCUGGUGGCCUCAGGUCAUCCGAGUUGUAAUCUAUAGAAGUGUUUUCCGUGCUGGCCCAUGUACAAGUCCCUUGGAACAGGGCGUCAUAGAGGGUGAGAAUCCCGUCCUUGACAUGGACUACCAGUGCUCUGUGAUACACUUUCAACGAGUCGAGUUGUUUGGGAAUGCAGCUCAAAAUGGGUGGUAAAUUCCAUCUAAAGCUAAAUAUUGGCGAGAGACCGAUAGCGAACAAGUACCGUGAGGGAAAGAUGAAAAGCACUUUGGAAAGAGAGUUAAACAGUAUGUGAAAUUGUUGAAAGGGAAACGAUUGAAGUCAGUCGUGCUCAAUGGACUCAGCCGUUCUGCGGUGUAUUUCCAUUGGGUGGGGUCAACAUCAGUUUUGAUCGCUGGAUAAAGGCAGGAGGAAUGUAGCACCCCCGGGUGAACUUAUAGCCUCUUGUCACAUACAGUGGUUGGGACUGAGGAACGCAGCAUGCCUUUAUGGCCGGGAUUCGUCCACGUACAUGCUUAGGAUGUUGACAUAAU
rnacentral:rRNA from 1 species